GACGAACGCUGGCGGCGUGCUUAACACAUGCAAGUCGAACGGAAAGGCCCUGCUUGCAGGGUACUCGAGUGGCGAACGGGUGAGUAACACGCGGGUGAUCUGCCCUGCACUUCGGGAUAAGCCUGGUAAACUGGGUCUAAUACCGGACAGGAGACAUUUUUAGUGUGAUGGUUGGAAAGUUUUUUGCGUGUUGGAUGAGCUCGCUGGCUAUCAGCUUGCUGGUGGGGUUAUGGCCUACCAAGGCGGCGGCGGGUAGCCAGCCUGAGGGGGUGGACGGCCACCUUGGGACUGAGGUGCGGCCCAAGCACCGAAGGGGGGGAACUGGGGGGAAGAUUGACGGAGGGGCGCAAGGCUGGUGCAGAGACGCCGCGGGGGGGAAAACGGCCUUAGGGUUGAAAAACCGAUGUGCAAGGGACGAAGCUUUUUGUGACGGUACCUAGAUAAGAAGCACCGGCUAACUACGUG
rnacentral:rRNA from 1 species